rnacentral:rRNA from 1 species
GAUGAACGCUGGCGGCGUGCCUAAUACAUGCAAGUCGAGCGAACAGACGAGGAGCUUGCUCCUCUGACGUUAGCGGCGGACGGGUGAGUAACACGUGGAUAACCUACCUAUAAGACUGGGAUAACUUCGGGAAACCGGAGCUAAUACCGGAUAAUAUAUUGAACCGCAUGGUUCAAUAGUGAAAGACGGUUUUGCUGUCACUUAUAGAUGGAUCCGCGCCGCAUUAGCUAGUUGGUAAGGUAACGGCUUACCAAGGCAACGAUGCGUAGCCGACCUGAGAGGUGGACGGGCAAACCUGAACCUGAGACCCGGUCCAGCCUCCUACGGGAGGCAGCAGUAGGGAACCUUCCGCAAUGGGCGAAAGCCUGCCGGAGCAACGCCGCGUGAGUGAUGAAGGUCUUCGGAUCGUAAACCUCUGUUAUUAGGAAAGAACAAAUGUGUAAGUAACAAUGCACGUCUGGACGGUACCUAAUCAGAAAGCAACGGCUAACUACGU